rnacentral:rRNA from 1 species
GGGCUGCAGCUGGGAAUAUUGCGCAAUGGGCGAAAGCCUGACGCAGCGACGCCGCGUGCGGGAUGAAGGCCUUCGGGUCGUAAACCGCUUAAUUUUAACUUCGGUUAAAACCAAAAGCACCUACUAACUACGUGCCAGCAGUCGCGGUAAUACGUAGGGUGCAAGCGUUAUCCGGAAUCACUGGGCGUAAAGGGUCCGUAGGCGGCCUUUUAAGUCUUGUUUUAAAGCCCUCCGCCUAACGGAGGAGAAGGACAAGAUACUGAAAGACUAGAACUAGGUCGGGGUCACUGGAACUUGUUGUGUAGGGGUGGAAUCCGUGGAUACAACAAGGAACACCAAGAGCGAAGGCAGGUGACCAGGUCUAUGUUGACGCUAAAGGACGAAAGCUAGGGUAGCGAACCGGAUUAGAUACCCUUGUAGUC